GUCUUACAGUGUGAAUCGUGAAUGUCUGAUCGAUAAGAGGAGCUAUUCAGCGGAGAGCUGAAGCAAAAAUAAAAAGAGAUUUGUUCGAUUUCCCAUUUGCCGCCGCCCGCCCGUCGCCUGUUGCCAUCACGUCGUUUCAUGCAUCAAAAAUUUAAGUGCUCUUCUUACACCACGUUGCUACCACGAAGCUGCCGCCACAUUAUUGUCUGCCUCCGGUGUCGUUGUCGUUAUUUGCCACACCACGUUCCUUCCAGCCACCACGUUGUUCCCGCCAGCCGCCACCAUCAUCCCGCUAAAAUAAUUCCUGUGCCAUCACGUUGCCACCACCACGCUGCCGCCACAUUAUUGUCUGCCUCCGCUGUCGUUGUCGUCAUUUGCCACACCACGUUCCAUCCAGCCACCACGUUGCUCCCGCCAGCCUCCACCAAUCUUGCUGAAAUAAUUUCCUACUUUUUAUUUAUUUACUUAUUUUAUUUUAUUUACUUUAUAAAUUUGUAUAAACUUAAAACAAACUUGCUGUUCAUUUCAAAGAAAUGGAACUACAAUUACUGCCUAGAAUCAUUUUUUAUUAAUAUUUUAAAAUUUGAUUGCAUUAUAUUCAUUAACCCUCUUCCGCAACC